CCUAGCCCCUUCCGCGGGCUGCCCUCCCCGUCAGCUCUCCUCAGCCGCGGCCGUCCGCUUCCCUCCCCGCGUUCUGCCCGCGUUCAAAUCUGGCGCCUUCCCCUCCGCGGCCGCGACGCGGCGCGGAGCCAUUUUGCGGGGCGGGGGGGGCAGGAGGUGACCCCCGUCCGGCUCCCCUGAGCCUCCUCGGGGGCGGCUGGAGCGGCGGGGAGGGUUCGUAGGAACGGCAAAACCCGCCGCCCGGCCAAAUGUCACCGUCGCCUUUGCCGCAGGGAGGAAGGGAAGGAGCUGCGCUCGCCAGAGCAACGGCCACCGGCAGCCGUUGGCGUCGGUGCCAGGCGCCCUCUGCGGUGCCGGGCCCGCUCCGGCUAAGGAAAAGAAGUUACCUCUAGGCAGGAAACGCCAUCACCUCCUUCACAAUUUUUAAGCUGUGUAACUUAAGAACAGAAAUAAUUAUAGAUGACAAGUGUAAAGAACAUUCACUGCAACUAUGCUUUCCUUGCGGGGGAAGUGAACUGGAUAACAUGCAUGGCUCAUGGGCUGUCCCACAGGGCUAGCCAGAAGAGGGUUAAGAAGCCGGAGCUGGAAUCCAGCUGGUGAUCAGGGAGUGGGAAAGUGCCAGAAGUAUAAGGUUAUGCUUUAUGUGUGCAGAGAUGAGACUGAACAAAGAAGGCAAAGGGAAUUUCUCAAGCUGUGGAGCAGAAGAGUGCCAAAUGCAGCCUUCUUAUUAAUUCAUAAGGAUUUUCUUUUCCCUAAGGCAACUCUUUGAAUUAAUAAUAAACAGAUAACCCAAAAUCAGUAACACAUAAAGAAAUUGGCAUAUUUCCACGUGUGCAAUAGGGCCUUCUCUGCCCCUGACCUGAGUUCAUGAAGAACCAUUCAAGCUAAUGGCACAGUUGCUGUCCUCAUGCCAUCUGCCACUCUUUUAGCCAUAGGUCAGCUAGACAUGGUGAUGCUUCAGUCGGACACACUGCAGCAGCAGAUCCAAACAACAGUCUUCUUUCUGGUGCAGCCUCAGAUCAAGUCCUUAAUCCCACAUAUGCAUUAUUCCAGUCAAGUUAUAACCACAAGAUGAGGAAAGAUACUAUAAUGAAUACUAGAAAAACCCAGAAGAUAUGUGAGCUACAAUGAUUUCAGGCAUGUAAGAUUAUGGACUGGAUCCCUGCUGUCUUUAUUCAAGCAAAGCAUGUGAAAUUAGUUACCUGUGAAAAGCACAA